GGGCGUUAAGUUGCAGGGUAUAGACCCGAAACCCGGUGAUCUAGCCAUGGGCAGGUUGAAGGUUGGGUAACACUAACUGGAGGACCGAACCGACUAAUGUUGAAAAAUUAGCGGAUGACCUGUGGCUGGGGGUGAAAGGCCAAUCAAACCGGGAGAUAGCUGGUUCUCCCCGAAAGCUAUUUAGGUAGCGCCUCGUGAAUUCAUCUCCGGGGGUAGAGCACUGUUUCGGCUAGGGGGCCAUCCCGGCUUACCAACCCGAUGCAAACUGCGAAUACCGGAGAAUGUUAUCACGGGAGACACACGGCGGGUGCUAACGUCCGUCGUGAAGAGGGAAACAACCCAGACCGCCAGCUAAGGUCCCAAAGUCAUGGUUAAGUGGGAAACGAUGUGGGAAGGCCCAGACAGCCAGGAUGUUGGCUUAGAAGCAGCCAUCAUUUAAAGAAAGCGUAAUAGCUCACUGGUCGAGUCGGCCUGCGCGGAAGAUGUAACGGGGCUAAACCAUGCACCGAAGCUGCGGCAGCGACGUUUAUGCGUUGUUGGGUAGGGGAGCGUUCUGUAAGCCUGCGAAGGUGGCCUGUGAGGGUUGCUGGAGGUAUCAGAAGUGCGAAUGCUGACAUAAGUAACGAUAAAGCGGGUGAAAAGCCCGCUCGCCGGAAGACCAAGGGUUCCUGUCCAACGUUAAUCGGGGCAGGGUGAGUCGACCCCUAAGGCGA
rnacentral:rRNA from 1 species